rnacentral:rRNA from 1 species
GGACCCGCACAAGCGGUGGAUGAUGUGGAUUAAUUCGAUGCAACGCGAAAAACCUUACCUACCCUUGACAUGUCCGGAAUCCUGCAGAGAUGCGGGAGUGCUCGAAAGAGAACCGGAACACAGGUGCUGCAUGGCUGUCGUCAGCUCGUGUCGUGAGAUGUUGGGUUAAGUCCCGCAACGAGCGCAACCCUUAUCAUUAGUUGCUACGCAAGGGCACUCUAAUGAGACUGCCGGUGACAAACCGGAGGAAGGUGGGGAUGACGUCAAGUCCUCAUGGCCCUUAUGGGUAGGGCUUCACACGUCAUACAAUGGUCGGUACAGAGGGUUGCCAAGCCGCGAGGUGGAGCCAAUCCCAGAAAGCCGAUCGUAGUCCGGAUUGUUCUCUGCAACUCGAGAGCAUGAAGUCGGAAUCGCUAGUAAUCGCGGAUCAGCAUGUCGCGGUGAAUACGUUCCCGGGUCUUGUACACACCGCCCGUCACACCAUGGGAGUGGAAUCUGGCAGAAGUAGGUAGCCUAACCGCAAGGAGGGCGCUUACCACGCUGGGUUUCAUGACUGGGGUGAAGUCGUAACAAGGUAACC